rnacentral:rRNA from 1 species
CCGCCUGCCCUGUGACUAUAUGUUUAACGGCCGCGGUAUCUUAACCGUGCGAAGGUAGCGUAAUCACUUGUCUUUUAAAUGAAGACCUGUAUGAAUGGCAUCACGAGGGCUUAACUGUCUCCCCUCUCCAGUCAAUGAAAUUGACCUCCCCGUGCAGAGGCGGGGAUAUUUCUAUAAGACGAGAAGACCCUGUGGAGCUUUAGACCUAAAGUAAACCACGUUUAAUGUACUAAAAUUAAUAGCAAAAACUUAGUGGACAUUUAUUUAAGUGUCUUUGGUUGGGGCGACCGCGGAGUAAAACACAACCUCCAUGUGGACGGGGAUACUUUCCCUAAAACUCAGAGCCUCCACUCCAAGCAACAGAAAUUCUGACCUCACUGAUCCGGUACAACCGAUUAACGAACCCAGUUACCCCAGGGAUAACAGCGCAAUCCCCUCUCAGAGCUCAUAUCGACGAGGGGGUUUACGACCUCGAUGUUGGAUCAGGACAUCCUAGUGGUGCAGCCGCUAUUG